rnacentral:lncRNA from 1 species
ACAUAGGAGUUGAAAUCCCUUUUACAGAGCAAGGCAGGUGUCUGUGUUCAGGAUCUGUUUCCCAGGCAUGGUAGUGCAGACCUGUAUCCAGGAUCUGGGAAGUGCAUCAAAAGAAACCAGAUGGGCUGAAGAGAUGGCUCAGUGUUUACGAACACUUCCUGCACUUGCAGAGAACCUAGGUUUGGUUCCCACCCUUAUCAGGUAGCUCACAAUUUCUGCAAUUCUAGUUCCAGGGAAUCGAACACCUUCUGUCCUCCCUGGGCAUCUACAAAUAUAUGGUGCACAUAAAUUCAUACAGGAACACGUGUAUAAAAGAAAUAUAUCUUAAGACAAAAUUGCAUUUGCAAUACUGCUGUAAGAAAAACAAGAACAGGUUUGCUCCUACCCAGCCUGACAGAGUUGGACCUAACUUGUGUGAUGCCUUGUGAGUGCCUCUCCGCUGCCUUGUGAGCAGUUAUUAGCCUAGGAGAGUUGUCUAAUUCCUUAAUAUCCUACAGCAGUGGGGCCUCUCACUUGUAACUCUGACCAGCAGCAGUUCCGGUCUCCAGAGAGAAAUCUCUUAUUUGGGAGAGCUCUUUUAUUUGUAUAAAAUACUGAUCAUCAUUUUCAGAUUUCUAUUAAAUUUUUCCCUCUAGGUUUUUUACCUCCAUUUUGUAAAGCUUAGCAGUUUGCAAAGGGAAAUGUGAAAUUUUUCUUAGACACAUAAGUGAAUACAGCAGGAAUUAGCACAACUAAUUAUUGUAACUUCCAGUGCCCUGGGCUGCAGCAGGUGACUUGCUGUGUAACUUCCCAGUCUCUCACUAUAAUAUACUCCUUGUCAAUGACAAUGGUGUCAAUCGAUUUCUGUUCAAAUUCAGGCAGUUAUCAGAAACCUAGCAUUGGCAAACAACUUUUUCCUCAUCUUAGGAUAAUACAAAUGUAUUUUAAGAGUCAUGCUUAGUUGGAAUCUAAAUUCUGAGAAAAAUGCUAAAAAAUACACUUAGGAAAUGGUUUUCAAGUCAUAAAUUAUAAGUGAUAUAGCUAUAGAAACAAUGCAGAAAAUCAUCUGUCAGGUGAGCAACAGAUGUAUGUAAAACUGAGGGUAUGUGUACUGUAAUUUUAUAGUAAGUAUCUGCAUUAUGCUUUUGUUAGAGAAUGGAAAUUGUUUAGUUCAGAAAUUCUUAACAGUUAAGUGUGUGAACAAAAGUGUUUUAUAAAUGCUUAGGAUUCUACAAAUGAUAAUUGUUAUUCUCAUGUAUAUUUGUAAGAUCAUGUCCAUUCAUAAAUAUAUAUAAAAGACUUGGUCAAAGUAAAUUUGUAUUUUAGUAUUUUUGUCUGUUGUAAAAGUAUUAUCUACUUGUAUCUUAUAAUGUUUAUCUUUCAUAUAUUCUCAUGUUUAUUGCAGUAAAUUGGAAAAAAUCCUGAAAAUCAGAAUUUGUUCAAACAAAUUAAUUUUUAUGUUACAAAUUAUAUUAAAAGUUACCAGAAAGUACCUGAAUCCUAGAAAAUUAACUUUUAAAAGCUACCCAAUUGGUAUUUUAACUUCCUUUAAUUACUUACCUUUGCUAAUCCUUGAUAAAUAAUAGUGGUAAGCCCUGGUUUAAAAAAUAAUAAUUUUGCCGGGCAGUGGUGGCACACGCCUUUAAUACCAGCACUUGAGGGGCAGAGGCAGGCAAAUUUCUGAGUUCCAGGACAGCCAGGGCUACACAGAGAAACUAUGUCCUGAAAAAAAUAAUUAAUUUUAGGGUAUAAUAAAUGUAUUAAAAGGGCUAUAUCAACCAUCCUAGAGUCAGACUAUCUUCAUUCUGUUAUCCCAUAAUUGGCAGACUUUCUUUUGAUAGGUGAUGUUUAUAUGAGCCUCUAAGUUAGGAUGUGUGUGUGUUUAUAUGUAGAUAGUAUGAUGUGUACAUAUAUCACAAACACCCAAUGGUUUUUGCAGUUUAAUUAUCAGAAAUUUGUAUAAAUUAAAAAAUUAGUUGAUCAUAGACAAUUUGAUUACAUAAGACUAAAUUUGAACAUUUCUAGAGUACUCUUUAUUGUUGAGACAGGAUCUCUGUAGCCUGUGCUAGCCUCAAACUCUUAGCAAUUCUUUGCCUUCUGAGAGCUGCAGUUAGAAGAGGAAGCCAGGACCAUUUUCUAAAAUAAGCAUUUCAUCUGAAAGUGCAGAUCUGGUCUUAAGGAUCUGUGCACCUGUGUAACUACAGCGUUACAAGGCCAGGAAGCAGACCUGGAGAUCUGUGUAACGACAGUGUUACAAGGUCAGAAAGCAGACCUGGAGAUCUGUGUAACGACAGUGUUACAAGGCCAGGAAGCAGACCUGGAGAUCUGUGUAACGACAGUGUUACAAGGCCAGGAAGCAGACCUGGAGAUCUGUGUAACGACAGUGUUACAAGGCCAGGAAGCAGACCUGGAGAGAAGCGUGCAAACACCGCUUGUGGCUGUUCAGUUGGAAAGGUCAUAUGUUUUGUGAAUCAACAGGAAAUUACAGUUGGUUUUUGUGUACAUUUUCAUGAACUUGAAUCCUCCUCCAAGUCUUCUCCAUGUACUCCACAAGGUGGCCUGACUUCCUCCCUGUCUGCUGUACUCUCCCACACUGACUGACUGACAGGAAUUGGGUUCUCCACAGCCGUUUGUCAUAGAUGGGCGGUUGGGAUCCAGGUGUUUACUCCAUUGGAAUCAGGUUUUAAACGACCAAAUGCUCAGGGAGGGCAUUGGCUUGUCUGAGUCACCCAUCGGGUGUGCAAAGCACUCUCACCAUUUAGUUGAUGGCUCUAGACGGAUAUGUUUCAGAAAUUUCACUUCUAGCAGUGGUUAAACAUCCAUUCUGCUUGGAAAGAUGACAGUGCUUGGUGAGCCGGCACACUCUCCUGGUGAAUAUGAAUUGUUUCUGCAUCUGCUGUCAGACCCCCAUUUUGAAACUCAGGAAAGACAAAGGUGGGUUUUCUGCUUUUGUCAUUGUCCAACCCAGGUGUGUGCUGCUUUUUCCUGAUCUGACAGUAGAUUUUUAAAAAUCACUCUGAGAGCCCAUGCACAUACACGAAGAGAGAACGGGAGUUGGAUUAUUUGUGUGUGCCUUUAACGUCUUGAGAGGAUACAUCCUACAGACUUCAUGUGGUACCAAGAUAAUGUCCGGAAGCUUCCUGUGGACUGCCUCAUAGUCAACCCAAGACAUUACUAGUUAAAACGAUUUGGUCUUGCUGGAGUUAGUGGUACAGAGCUGAGUGUGGUGGCAAUGUCUGAUUCCAGUCCUUGGGAGAUGUGACAAGAAGAUCAGGAAAGUUCCAGGACAGCCAUGGCAACAGAGCCAGUUUGAGGUCAGAGUUGGCCACAUGAAUUCCCAUGUGAGAAACAGUAAUGGCAUUGAUUGGCAUUGUGUAGAAAGCUGGAAUGAUAUCAUUUCAUCCAUUAUUAUGUUCCAAACCACAUAACC